GUCUAUGGCCAUACCACCCUGAAGGCGCCUGGAAGCUAAGCAGGGUCAGGCCUGGCUGGUACUUGGAUGGGAGACUGACUGGAAAUACUGGUGAUGUAGGUU
rnacentral:rRNA from 1 species